CGAUGAUGUUGCCAGAUGCUUUCUGUACGAUAAUGUUAUCCACAGAUUUUAAGUGAUCUCUGUGGGGACCAGUCUUCUCCUGUCCAAAUAUCACCUUCUCCACUCCUUCACGAGUACAUAUAUUAAUAUACGCUCACAUUCUCUCACAAAGUAUCCAGUUCGGUACAAUCGAUCUUCCUCACUCCCUGUUUGUCCAAAAAUGGCGCUUCAAGCUGCUUCUUUGGUCUCCUCGGCUUUCUCUGUCCGUAAAGAUGGAACACUGAAUGCUUCAUCAUCAUCCUUCAAGGACUCGGGUCUCUUUGGUGCCUCCAUUACUGACCGAGUCAAAUCCGAACAAAGCUCUUCCUCAUAAGGUUCAAGGGCUACAUAAGAAUAUAACAUGGGAAAUUCCUAUUGGAA